rnacentral:rRNA from 2 species
GGAUGAACGCUGGCGGCGUGCCUAAUACAUGCAAGUCGAACGAGUUCUCGUUGAUGAUCGGUGCUUGCACCGAGAUUCAACAUGGAACGAGUGGCGGACGGGUGAGUAACACGUGGGUAACCUGCCCUUAAGUGGGGGAUAACAUUUGGAAACAGAUGCUAAUACCGCAUAGAUCCAAGAACCGCAUGGUUCUUGGCUGAAAGAUGGCGUAAGCUAUCGCUUUUGGAUGGACCCGCGGCGUAUUAGCUAGUUGGUGAGGUAAUGGCUCACCAAGGCGAUGAUACGUAGCCGAACUGAGAGGUUGAUCGGCCACAUUGGGACUGAGACACGGCCCAAACUCCUACGGGAGGCAGCAGUAGGGAAUCUUCCACAAUGGACGCAAGUCUGAUGGAGCAACGCCGCGUGAGUGAAGAAGGCUUUCGGGUCGUAAAACUCUGUUGUUGGAGAAGAAUGGUCGGCAGAGUAACUGUUGUCGGCGUGACGGUAUCCAACCAGAAAGCCACGGCUAACUACGUGCCAGCAGCCGCGGUAAUACGUAGGUGGCAAGCGUUAUCCGGAUUUAUUGGGCGUAAAGCGAGCGCAGGCGGUUUUUUAAGUCUGAUGUGAAAGCCCUCGGCUUAACCGAGGAAGCGCAUCGGAAACUGGGAAACUUGAGUGCAGAAGAGGACAGUGGAACUCCAUGUGUAGCGGUGAAAUGCGUAGAUAUAUGGAAGAACACCAGUGGCGAAGGCGGCUGUCUGGUCUGUAACUGACGCUGAGGCUCGAAAGCAUGGGUAGCGAACAGGAUUAGAUACCCUGGUAGUCCAUGCCGUAAACGAUGAAUGCUAGGUGUUGGAGGGUUUCCGCCCUUCAGUGCCGCAGCUAACGCAUUAAGCAUUCCGCCUGGGGAGUACGACCGCAAGGUUGAAACUCAAAGGAAUUGACGGGGGCCCGCACAAGCGGUGGAGCAUGUGGUUUAAUUCGAAGCAACGCGAAGAACCUUACCAGGUCUUGACAUCUUUUGAUCACCUGAGAGAUCAGGUUUCCCCUUCGGGGGCAAAAUGACAGGUGGUGCAUGGUUGUCGUCAGCUCGUGUCGUGAGAUGUUGGGUUAAGUCCCGCAACGAGCGCAACCCUUAUGACUAGUUGCCAGCAUUUAGUUGGGCACUCUAGUAAGACUGCCGGUGACAAACCGGAGGAAGGUGGGGAUGACGUCAAAUCAUCAUGCCCCUUAUGACCUGGGCUACACACGUGCUACAAUGGAUGGUACAACGAGUUGCGAGACCGCGAGGUCAAGCUAAUCUCUUAAAGCCAUUCUCAGUUCGGACUGUAGGCUGCAACUCGCCUACACGAAGUCGGAAUCGCUAGUAAUCGCGGAUCAGCACGCCGCGGUGAAUACGUUCCCGGGCCUUGUACACACCGCCCGUCACACCAUGAGAGUUUGUAACACCCGAAGCCGGUGGCGUAACCCUUUUAGGGAGCGAGCCGUCUAAGGUGGGACAAAUGAUUAGGGUGAAGUCGUAACAGGUAGUCGUA